UACGUAGGGUGCAAGCGUUGUCCGGAAUUAUUGGGCGUAAAGAGCUCGUAGGUGGCCUGUCGCGUCGGCUGUGAAAACUCGGGGCUCAACUCCGAGCUUGCAGUCGAUACGGGCAGGCUAGAGUUCGGCAGGGGAGACUGGAAUUCCUGGUGUAGCGGUGAAAUGCGCAGAUAUCAGGAGGAACACCGGUGGCGAAGGCAGCACUCUGGGACGGUACUGACGCUGAGACGCGAAAGCGUGGGGAGCAAACAGG
rnacentral:rRNA from 1 species